rnacentral:rRNA from 1 species
GACAGAGGCCUCGAGCGUUAGGCGGAAUCACUGGGCUUAAAGCGUGUGUAGGCGGAUCGUUAAGUACCUUGUGAAAUCCCACGGCUCAACCGUGGAACGGCUGGGUAUACUGGCGGUCUUGGGCCAUUCAGGGGCGACUGGAACAAGCGGUGGAGCGGUGAAAUGCGUAGAUAUCGCUUGGAACGCCGAAGGUGAAAACAGGUCGCUGGGGAUGUGCCGACGCUGAGACACGAAAGCUAGGGGAGCAAACGGG